rnacentral:rRNA from 1 species
AUUGAACGCCGGCGGCAGGCCUAACACAUGCAAGUCGAGCGGAUGAAGGGAGCUUGCUCCUGGAUUCAGCGGCGGACGGGUGAGUAAUGCCUAGGAAUCUGCCUGGUAGUGGGGGAUAACGUCCGGAAACGGGCGCUAAUACCGCAUACGUCCUGAGGGAGAAAGUGGGGGAUCCUCGGACCUCACGCUAUCAGAUGAGCCUAGGUCGGAUUAGCUAGUUGGUGGGGUAAAGGCCUACCAAGGCGACGAUCCGUAACUGGUCUGAGAGGAUGAUCAGUCACACUGGAACUGAGACACGGUCCAGACUCCUACGGGAGGCAGCAGUGGGGAAUAUUGGACAAUGGGCGAAAGCCUGAUCCAGCCAUGCCGCGUGUGUGAAGAAGGUCUUCGGAUUGUAAAGCACUUUAAGUUGGGAGGAAGGGCAGUAAGUUAAUACCUUGCUGUUUUGACGUUACCAACAGAAUAAGCACCGGCUAACUUCGUG